GGACUACCCGGGUAUCUAAUCCUGUUUGCUACCCACGCUUUCGUGUCUCAGCGUCAGCAAUGGUCCAGAAAGCCGUCUACACCGCAGGUGUUCCUCCUGAUAUCUACGCAUUUCACCGCUACACCAGGAAUUCCGCUUUCCUCUCCCACGCUCGAGCACUCCAGUUUCCGGCGCACCCUCCCAGUUAAGCCGGGAGAUUUCACACCGAACUUAGAGCACCGCCUACACACUCUUUACGCCCAGUAAUUCCGAACAACGCUCGCUGCCUACGUAUUACCGCGGCGGCUGGCAC
rnacentral:rRNA from 1 species